CCUACGGGAGGCAGCAGUUGGGAAUCUUGGACAAUGGGGGAAACCCUGAUCCAGCCAUGCCGCGUGAGUGAUGAAGGCCUUCGGGUUGUAAAACUCUUUCGACGGGGACGAUAAUGACGGUACCCGUAGAAGAAGCUCCGGCUAACUUCGUGCCAGCAGCCGCGGUAAUACGAAGGGGGCUAGCGUUGUUCGGAAUUACUGGGCGUAAAGCGCGCGCAGGCGGUCUUCCAAGUCAGUGGUGAAAGCCCGGAGCUCAACUCCGGAACUGCCAUUGAAACUGUAAGACUUGAGGACGAGAGAGGUGAGUGGAAUUCCCAGUGUAGAGGUGAAAUUCGUAGAUAUUGGGAAGAACACCGGUGGCGAAGGCGGCUCACUGGCUCGUAUCUGACGCUCAGGCGCGACAGCGUGGGGAUCAAACAGGAUUAGAUACCCUGGUAGUCCACGCCGUAAACGAUGAAUGCUAGCCGUUGGGUAGCUUGCUAUCUAGUGCGCNGCUACGCAUAGUACACUCGUCCGUCGGUAGGUACGGCCGCGACGGUUAGUAACGUACGAAAGGAAAGUUAAGUACGGCGUUGAGACGUUGCGACGGACGACGACGAGGGAGGAGG
rnacentral:rRNA from 1 species